rnacentral:rRNA from 1 species
GAUGAACGCUAGCUACAGGCUUAACACAUGCAAGUCGAGGGACCGGCGCACGGGUGAGUAACACGUAUCCAACCUGCCCUUUACUCGGGGAUCGCCUUUCGAAAGCAAGAUUAAUACCCGAUAUAAAGGAUGGGGAUGCGUUCCAUUAGGUUGUUGGUGAGGUAACGGCUAACGCAGCCUUCGAUGGUGAGGGGUUCUGAGAUGAAGGGCACCCUCAUUGGAACUGAGACACCGUCCAAUAUCCGACGUGAGGCAGCAGUGCGGAAUAUUGGUCAAUGGGCGCUAGCCUUAACCAGCCAAGUAGCGGGAAGGAUGAAGGAUUAUGGGUCGUAAACUUCUUUUAUAUAAGAAUAUGUAUUAUAUGAAUAAGGAUCGGCUAACUCCGUGCCAGCAGCCGCGGUAAUUC